GCUGAACUAUCGAACUAACUUGAUUAGAUGCAAAUCUAACUGACUGUGAAGACUCUUUGGUAUGGGAUGGGGGAUUAGCACAAGGAAUUUAUUUAGUCAAAUCAGCUUAUCAAAUUCUCGUGGGAAUAGCCAGGUUGGCUGGAGAUGGCUUUGGAAGCAAAUUUGAAUGAUAGAUGCACCGUCUUAGAUAAUAUGGUUAUGAUCAGUGGCUGGAAAGGCUUGUCGUACGUAUGAAAACCUAAGAAAGAGGGGUUAUCAACUGAGUUCCAAAUGUUAUUAAUGUACAACGGUGGCUGAAGAUAAUUUCCGUUUGUUCUUACACUCUGUUGUCAUAUCGCAACUCUGGAAAAUAUUCCAAGUAUGGUUGAAAUGAGCUGGGUGCCAAAUAUAACAAUUGAUCUUUUCAGAUGUUGGUGUGGUGUAGGUAGGGGAUGCUAGUGAGAAGAAAUGGUAUAGAAUUAUUCCAACAUGCAUUUGGUGAGUGGUUUAGAAGGAAAAAAGUUCUAGAUUUUUGAGAAUCAAGAAAUUCCAUCGAGAGAAUAAACUUGAACAUUUUACUCCCGCCAUCCCAAUUUAUGUGACACUCUUUCUUUUUGAUCCAUUCCAAAAAAAAUGUCCCUUAAGUUACCAUUUUCAAAAAAAAUGUCACCUUCCCUUACUUGACAACUAUUUAAUGGCACCAUCUCCAUUUUACCCUUAUUGGUCCCGUUAAAGUCUU
rnacentral:misc_RNA from 1 species